CCCCCCCAGGACCCCCCCGGUGGCUCCUACAACUUCCGGCGCACCCAGGCCCGGGGACCCCCCAGCCCCUCCAUCCGGAUGUUCGCCUCCUUCCACCCCGCCGGCAGCCCCAGCUCUCCCACGCCGGACCCGGAGCCCGAGGCCCCGCCCCCCACACAGGGCCACGCCCCCCACCUUGACUCCGCCCCCCGGCUCGGCCCCGCCCCCCCGGGUCCUGGCGCGCCGGGUGACGCUGGACGGGACCGUGCAGUACCUGCUGGAGUGGGGGGGCGGGGCCAUGCUCUGACCACGCCCCCGAUUGGGGACACGCCCCUUCCAAAAUUCUGGGGGUCCCAGCCCCAAAAACCCCCCAGAUUUGGGGUGGAAAUUGUUCAUUUCUGGCACUUUAGGAGAGAUUGACGGGAUAGAUAGCGGAGGGGCGUGGCCUGCAGGGGGCGUGGCCUCCUCUGACCACACCUCUCCCCAUUUGGGAACCGCCCCCUUCCAAAACUUUGGGGGUCGCCGCCCCAAACCCCCCAAAAUUUUGGGUGAAAAAUCUUCAUUUUCGGCACUUUAGGGGAGAGUUCAUGGGAAAGGAGGGGCGUGGCCUGCAGGGGGGCGUGGCCUCCUCUGACCACACCCAUCCAUUUUUAGGAGAUCCCUCCCCCCAAAAAUUUGGGGUCCCAGCCCCAAAAACCCCCAAAAUUUGGGUGGAAAUUCUUUAUUUUUGGCACUUUAGAGGAGAUUCAGAGUGGGGGAGGGGCCGCACGUGUGGGCGUGGCCAUCUCUGACCACGCCCCCAAUUUCUGGGGGUCUCUCCCCCAAAAUUUUGGUGUCUCUGACCCAAAGCCCUCGAAAUUUCGGGUGAAAAGUCUUUAUUUUUGUCACUAGAGAUUAUUUAACAGGGAAAAAGAGGAGGGGCGUGGCCUGGAGGGGGCAUGGCCGCCUCUGACCACGCCCCCGAUUUUGGGGGGACCCCACCCCCAAAAUUUGGCGGUCCCAGCCCCAAAACCCUCCAAAUUUUGGGUGAAAAAUCUUCAUUUUUGGCACUUUAGGGGAGAUUUAAAGGAAAAGGGAGGAGGGCGUGGCCCGGAGGGGGCGUGGCUUCCCGUGACCACGCCCCGAUAUUUGAGAAACCCCAUUCCAAAAAUCUGGGGUCUCAGCCCCAAAACCCCCCAGAUUUUGGGUGGGAAAUGCUGAUUCUCGUCACUUCGGAGCAGCUUGGGGAGGGGGCGGGGCCACCUCAGGCCCCUCCCCCAAACCCUCCCCGACCCCCCAAAUUUGGGGUGGGAAAUCGGCAUUUGCAUUUCCGGCUGGGCGUGGCCUAGAUGGGUUUGGAUUGGGUGGGCGUGGCCCUGGUGGGCGUGGCCUGGAUGGGUUUGGAUUGGGUGGGCGUGGCCCUGGUGGGCGUGGCCUAGAUGGGUUUGGAUUGGGUGGGCGUGGCCCUGGAUGGGUUUGGAUGGGCGUGGCCCUGGUGGGCGUGGCCUGGAUGGGUUUGGAUUGGGUGGGCGUGGCCCUGGUGGGCGUGGCCUGGAUGGGUUUGGAUUGGAUGGGCGUGGCCCUGGUGGGCGUGGCCUCCUCCCCCCACCCAAUAAACGGCUCCAGCAGCGGC